CGACUUGUUUGGGUUCAGAGGUGCAGGGGUGACUUGGUCUGAGUUUGCACGUUAGCGUCAGAGCUUUUGAGCUCUGCUUGGGACCUUGGCUAUACCUGCGCAAAUGGAAAUGAGGUUCAGUGAAUUACCCAAGAAAGCGUGUGUAUGGGACAACGGUCUGCAAAUCGCAAAGAUCUGUAUGACUUUAGGGAAUUUUUAUCAGUUGGCUGAAGCUGCUGCUACGGGAGCGUCCUCUGUUCUACUCGGCAUCACUAGUAGCUCUUCCCGGGGUAGAGAGCGUGGAGACUGCAUCGUUGUCAUGUCGCCAGGGAGGGGGGCGUGUAGCUGCAUUAGGAGUUAAAAAAUAUGGAUUUGGUCCUUCUCAGAAAUUACCUCUCUAAGCUUUGAUGUCCUUCUACCACUCUCAACCACCGUUUACUCACCGUUAAAACCAAGUAUUAGAAAUGGACAAUGUCUGAUGCCAUUUCUAGGGCCAAAAAUAUCCUUUCCGAAGCAGAAAGAAAGAAACGAUAGGCCAGUCAGAUCACAAGUCAAGGCUUCCGGCAACAACUAGUAAAAAUGGCAGCAACAUUUCAACAACGUCACAUGAAAAUGGUAUGUAGAAACCUUCACGGCCGUUCCAUCAUUUACAGCGCACAAAUUCAGUAGUAUUUUAGAAUUUUAAUUUGAGCAUAUGAUAUUA
rnacentral:lncRNA from 12 species